rnacentral:lncRNA from 1 species
AGCGGCAGCGACAGGCGGACAGACUCUCGGGUGGUCACACUCACGAUAAAAGCUGGCAGGCUGACAGAGGCAACCUCAGGACGGACUUUCUGGCUACUGACCAUUUUGCUGUGUCUUACUAGGAUUGUGUGUGGACGUGAGAUCAACCAUGAGCUCCGUUGCAGUUUUGACCCAAGAGAGUUUUGCUGAACAUCGAAGUGGGCUGGUUCCACAACAAAUCAAAGUUGCCACAUUAAAUUCAGAAGAGGAAAGUGACCCUCCAACCUACAAGGAUGCCUUCCCUCCACUGCCUGAGAAAGCAGCUUGCUUGGAAAGUGCCCAAGAACCUGCUGGAGCCUGGAGUAACAAGAUCCGGCCCAUCAAGGCCUCUGUCAUCACUCAGGUGUUUCAUGUACCCCUGGAGGAGAGAAAAUAUAAGGACAUGAACCAGUUUGGAGAAGGUGAACAAGCAAAAAUCUGCCUUGAGAUCAUGCAAAGGACUGGUGCUCACCUGGAGCUCUCUCUGGCUAAAGACCAAGGUCUCUCCAUCAUGGUCUCAGGGAAGCUGGAUGCAGUCAUGAAAGCCCGGAAAGACAUUGUUGCUAGAAGUGGAGAAGGCCUUCCACCCCUUCAUCGCUGGGCCGUACAAUAGACUUGUGGGUGAAAUCAUGCAGGAGACAGGGACGCGAAUCAACAUCCCUCCACCCAGUGUUAACCGUACAGAAAUCGUCUUCACUGGAGAGAAGGAACAGCUGGCUCAGGCUGUGGCUCGUAUUAAGAAGAUUUAUGAGGAAAAGAAGAAGAAGACUACGACUCCGCUCCAUCAUGGAGGAAUGUGGUGGCGUCCAUAUUCACUUUCCUGUGGAAGGUUCUGGUAGUGACACUGUUGUCAUCAGGGGUCCUUCCUCAGAUGUGGAGAAGGCCAAGAAGCAGCUUCUGCACCUGGCUGAGGAGAAGCAAACCAAGAGUUUUACUGUGGACAUCCGAGCCAAGCCAGAAUACCACAAAUUCCUCAUUGGCAAAGGGGGAGGUAAAAUCCGCAAGGUGCGUGACAGUACUGGAGCCCGCAUCAUAUUUCCGGCUGCUGAGGAUAAGGACCAGGACCUGAUAACAAUCAUAGGAAAGGAAGAUGCUGAAGAAUUCCCCAGCUUUGGGGCUCAAGUGGCCCCCAAGACCCUCCCGUGGGGCCCCAAACGAUAAUGAUCAAAAAGAAACCUUUCCAGCCUGCUGCCCAAACCCAACCACACAAUGGUUUGUCUCAAUCUGACUCAGCAGCUGGACCCUCGUAAAUUGUUGAUGCUCCCCCUCCCCGAGGUCUCGCAGCAAAGCCUGGUGGGCUGGCCUUCUGUGGCUGCUUCCCCAGGCCUGGUCAGCACCCGCAGGCUCAGGGUCUGCUCCUGACGCUGUGCUCUGGGAAAGGCACGCCACUGCGUGAAACACUAAGCAAGGUAAUCGAGCAUUUCGUGAUCACAGACUCCAGCUUCCUGGUCCACCCAGCAUGUAGUCAGCACUCUGACCUUCACAGCAGAGCUCCACAGCGGCUAGGAGUUGACUUCCUGUGUCAUGACCUCAGGAAAUAAAUUUCCUUGACUUU